AUGCUCAAUUUUAAGAAGUCAUUAAAAAAAAGAAUAGCAACUAUAAGUAUUCUUUAUUAUUCUUUAAUUGGUUCUGUCAUUGAAGAAAUUGUGCAUGUGUUUUGGUGGGAUUGUUUUGUUAAUGUUAGACCUAUUACUUUAAAAGAUAUUGCAGGAAUGAAAAGGUAUAAUACCUUUUUCUUAUCUCAUUUCAAGGUCUACAGCCAACUCUUCUAUAACAAAGGACAGAUUAGCAAGAAAAAAGUGUACCACAUUUACUUUUAUGAACGGACAAUGGGAAGUGUUAUAUCGAUGCUACCAAGCAGCAAAUCUCGUAGAGCAAAGUGCUAGCAUUUCCAUGCUGCCGUCCUGGUCAGAGUGAGUAAGCAUCCACACCAUACAGGCAAAUAGGACACAGUAAACACAGGUGGGAGCCACACACUUUCAAGAUUCUUCCAGAGCUACAGUCCCCUCAAGCUUUUCAAAUAGGGCCCACGAUGAACUCACAUUAUCAUUGCUCUGUUAUAUGUCUGUAUAUGUGAAAAGUAUUGUGAUCUGCUAGGUGACAAGUAGGGGAAGACUCUGGUAUGAGUGAUUAGGGGAAUUCAGGUGAGUCAUGUGUUCAGAUGCAGGGUGGGGCCCAAAACAGCCCUAAAAGUAGCAUCUGGCAGCAGAUGGACAGAGCAUGGCCUCGAUGACAG
rnacentral:lncRNA from 1 species